rnacentral:rRNA from 1 species
AUUGAACGCUGGCGGCAUGCCUUACACAUGCAAGUCGAACGGCAGCACGGGAGCAAUCCUGGUGGCGAGUGGCGAACGGGUGAGUAAUAUAUCGGAACGUGCCCAGUCGUGGGGGAUAACGCAGCGAAAGCUGUGCUAAUACCGCAUACGAUCUACGAAUGAAAGCGGGGGAUCGCAAGACCUCGCGCGAUUGGAGCGGCGGAUAUCAGAUUAGCUAGUUGGUGAGGUAAAGGCUCACCAAGGCGACGAUCUGUAGCUGGUCUGAGAGGACGACCAGCCACACUGGAACUGAGACACGGUCCAGACUCCUACGGGAGGCAGCAGUGGGGAAUUUUGGACAAUGGGCGAAAGCCUGAUCCAGCAAUGCCGCGUGCAGGAUGAAGGCCUUCGGGUUGUAAACUGCUUUUGUACGGAACGAAACGGUGAGCUCUAAUACAGUUUGCUAAUGACGGUACCGUAAGAAUAAGCACCGGCUAACUACGUGCCAGCCGCCGCCGUAAUAC